UAGCUUGCUAAUGAAAUUCUUAGUGGCGGACGGGUUAGUAACACGUGAGAAUCCUACCCUUAAGUGGGGAAUAGCCUUUCGAAAGGAAGAUUAAUGCCCCAUGGUCUCUACGGAGUAAAGAUGCCUUCGGGUGUCGCUUAAGGAUGGGCUCGCGGCCUAUCAGCUAGUUGGUGAGGUAAGAGCUCACCAAGGCAACGACGGGUAGCUGGUCUGAGAGGACGAUCAGCAACACUGGAACUGAGACACGGUCCAGACACCUACGGGUGGCAGCAGUCGAGAAUCAUUCACAAUGGACGAAAGUCUGAUGGUGCAACGCCGCGUGGAGGAUGACGGCCCUAGGGUUGUAAACUCCUGUCAUCAGGGAGUAAGACUUAUUCGUUAAUAGCGUGUAAGUUUGAUAGUACCUGAAGAGGAAGGGACGGCUAACUUCGUGCCAGCAGCCGCGGUAAUACGAAGGUCCCAAGCGUUGUUCGGAAUAACUGGGCGUAAAGCGUGUGUA
rnacentral:rRNA from 1 species